rnacentral:rRNA from 1 species
GAAUUCGCCCUUAGAGUUUGAUCCUGGCUCAGGAUGAACGCUGGCGGCGUGCCUAACACAUGCAAGUCGAGCGAUCUUCUUCGGAAGAGAGCGGCGGACGGGUGAGUAACGCGUGGGUAACCUGCCUCAUACACAUGGAUAACAUACCGAAAGGUAUGCUAAUACAAGAUGAUAUAAGAGAUUCGCAUGGAUUUCUUAUCAAAGCUCCGGCGGUAUGAGAUGGACCCGCGUCUGAUUAGCUAGUUGGUAAGGUAACGGCUUACCAAGGCGACGAUCAGUAGCCGACCUGAGAGGGUGAUCGGCCACAUUGGAACUGAGACACGGUCCAAACUCCUACGGGAGGCAGCAGUGGGGAAUAUUGCACAAUGGGCGAAAGCCUGAUGCAGCAACGCCGCGUGAGCGAUGAAGGCCUUCGGGUCGUAAAGCUCUGUCCUCAAGGAAGAUAAUGACGGUACUUGAGGAGGAAGCCCCGGCUAACUACGUGCCAGCAGCCGCGGUAAUACGUAGGGGGCUAGCGUUAUCCGGAUUUAUUGGGCAUAAAGGGUGCGUAGGCGGCAAGUUAAGUUUAAGGUAUAAGCUCAUGGCUCAACCAUGGGAGGCUUUAGAAACUGGCUAGCUAGAGUGCAGUAGAGGCAAGUGGAAUUCCAUGUGUAGCGGUAAAAUGCGUAAAUAUAUGGAGGAACACCAGUAGCGAAGGCGGCUUGCUGGGCUGUAACUGACGCUAAGGCACGAAAGCGUGGGGAGAAGACAGGAUUAGAUACCCUGGUAGUCCACGCCGUAAACGAUGAGUACUAAGUGUCGGGGGAAUCUCGGUGCUGAAGCAAAUGUAAUAAGUACUCCGCCCGAGUAGUACGUGCGCAAGCAUGAAACUCAAAGGAAAAGACGGGACCCUGCACAAGCGGUGGAUCAUGUUGUUUAAUUCGAGGAUACGCGAAGAACCUUACCAGGCCUUGACAUCCUCUGCAAAGCUAUAGAGAUAUAGUGGAGGUUAACAGAGAGACAGGUGGUGCACGGUUGUCGUCAGCUCGUGUCGUGAGAUGUUGGGUUAAGUCCCGUAACGAGCGCAACCCCCGUUGCUAGUUGCCAUCAUUAAGUUGGGGACUCUAGCGAGACUGCCAGCGAUAAACUGGAGGAAGGCGGGGAGGACGUCAAAUCAUCAUGCCCCCUAUGGCCUGGGCUACAAACGUGAUACAAUGGCUGAAACAAAGAGAAGCGAAGGGGUGACCUGGAGCGGAACUCAUAAAAGCAGUCUCAGUUCGGAUUGGAGUCUGCAACUCGACUCCACGAAGUCGGAAUCGCUAGUAAUCGUAGGUCAGCAUACUACGCCGAAAAAGAUCUCGGGGUUUGCACAC